rnacentral:lncRNA from 1 species
ACACAUAUGAAAGGGAGAUGACAAAGAACACACUUGCUGAAGCUUUAUUGCUAAGUUUAAUUUACAGAAUGUGUGUACAAAAUCAACCAACCGGUCGCCUCUUCUGACACAUAAAGACAUCAUCUGCUACCAUGCCCUUGCUCAGGUUGGAGCUUCAGUUGAAGAAGGAAUGCCUAUAUAGAACAAAAACAUGGUCACUGGCCUUAAGCUUUUUCCAGGUGGAAAGUGCCAUUGUGGAGAAACUUCCAAGGCGACACAUCCAGUGGAAUGAAAACUUACAUGUUGAGCCGCUGGAUCUACAACGAACGGCAUCCGCUCAAAGGUGUAGCUCCACCAACAACUUAAAACACCAAUCAGCACAUAACCCCUCCUUCCUAGUAAUGUUGCCAGAUUAUUUAGGGAUUGGCUUAUCCCGUCGUAAGACCUAAUCUUGGUUCAGACAUAAGUUUGUAGCAAAACACAUGUAGAGAGGCAAUAGAAGAGCAGGUCUCAACCAAGUAGCAAAACACAUGUAGAGACGAAAGCACAUGUGAAGCCACCCAGGCAGGAAUAUUAGAAGAGCAGAAGAAAGAAUCUCAACGCCAAAUAACAGUCAGAUUAUGGACUGAGAGCUCCCUUCACUCGUAUGAUUUUUGCAUGACAUUCAAACCAAAAACCAACUUAUUCUUUUCUUAUUUCCAAAGCACAUGUGAAUAUGACAAUACCACUUGUCAAACCAGUACACUGACUCAUACCUCUAUGUCUAAUGUUCAAAUCUAAAAUUAAGAAACUCUUUUUUAUUCCCAAAGCGAACAAAAAACAGACCUUAAAAGGCCCAAGUAGCACAAAAGAAUAAAACAGGGGAGAUUUUGGUUGGUGGACCAAGGCCCUACUAAUCUAGGAAGGGUAAGUGCGUAGAAAGCAUUAUCAUUAAUCAAACUAUGAACACAUGAUAGAUGGAAGCGAGUAGAAAGCAUUCAUCAUAUAAUAAACCAGGACGUACACUGGAGGGACGAAACUGAGCUUUCAUCACUUGAAUUUGGCUGGAGUACAAGUCCAUUCAAGAUAAAGGAAGUUCAAAUCACCUGAACAAUUGCAAGCUUGGACCAAAUAUUAUGCGACACUUUGCAGAUAUACCUGGAGCGCUAUAGAGGAACAAAGCUGUCAAAUAUUAAUGGCAUGAGUGAACUACUGGACAUAUCUUCAAGGUGGGGACAGAACAACAAAAAACAGGAUGGAGCAAGCUAAUAAUAACAAUUUAGCGGGGGGGAAACACUGUUUGAGAGCACAAUAUUCACAACAGAUCAAUGUACAUCUAAGAAAAACUAAGAAUAAAACAUUUUCUCUCAAGAUCAACAUAGCAGAGUAUCAAAUCACAUCAUUCUUCCAGCCAUAUUACUUGUGGACCUUCCCUAUCAGAACAUAUUGUUACUUGAAUUACAAUGCCCCUUUUAAUAGUUGACAGUCAAUGAUCUAGUGUAGGUAGUCCUUCCCUACUUUACACAUUGCACUCUCAAAACCAAAAAUGUAAUUACAUAUGGUAUAUAUAUCAAAAUAAUUAGCCUCAUGAAGAAGUGGGGAAUCUAUAACGGAAGGGGAUUUCACUUGUAGACUAUGCAUCACCGAGUGAAUCAAGAAAUCAAGAGUGAAUGUACAUGAGCUCUAAACUGGAACUUGUACACAUUUUCUUAUAUAUUUCAUCCUCGUUUUCUGAUUCAAUGCGCCACUGAUUUGGUCCAGUAUUUAUUUGCUUAGCAAGGCUUAUAACAGUGAAAUAAACCGCAUACUAAAACCAUGGUUGACAGCUAGGCAGGGUAAGCAAACGUUUUUAUGUAAGUAGACAAUUUAAAACAAGGAUGUGAUCAUAAUAACUAAAGGGUAAAAGAAAUUAAGAGGUAAACAUACGGUAUACAAACAAGGUUGAAGCAUUGUUGGGUACUGGUAGCUGUGAAUCUCUUUGUGAAAUCGUAUUGAAUAGGUCUGUUUUUGAACAUAAACAAGACUGCUUUACUACUUAACCCAUAUAACACACCAAUAGGUCAUAAGCACACACAUAAUCAUGCACACAGGACAACGCCCAAACAACAAUCUUUAUGUUAUAUUUACAUUUUCCUUCAAAAUUACAUUUCUUUUAUUUUUCAAGUUUAAGUUGUAGUGAAACAAGUUGUCCAUUGCCACAUUUAAAAAAUAAGAACAUGGCAAAUAACUCUGUAGCACAAAGAAAAUGGAUCAACUAUACUCUCAUCUUUGGAUCCAUGAUACAUCCUAUUUUCCAUUGGAACUAAACAUUCUUAAAGCAUAGAAAGAACAUGAACGCCCAAAAAUCCAUGAGGAAGAGUACACUACCAACAACAAACAUAUGUAAACUAAGUGGGAAAAAAUGCUGCACAAUGAAAAGGGGGGAGAUGAACCUCUACACACAAACACUUAGUCAACAGAAAAAGGCAACCAUUCAUAAAUUCAUCUUAGCUAAAGCAAAAGCAUAAUUCAGACUAAUCAAAAUGCCCUCGAGCGACACAACAACGAAUUAAACAAAAGGGAAAACACCAAGACAACAGAAAACAACGGAAGGUAGGUGAAGCACAAUUAUACCUGAUGGACCUGAAGGCACACACAACAGAAAAAUAGAGGACCGUCGAAAUAACGUACUCUUCCAUCCGCAACCCUGAAGAACCAUGCAGGAGCAGUAAGCAAAGCAGGAACAGGACCGAGCGGUGAACGCAAAGGAACUGUGUAUCCUCCCAAAAAUUGCAAGCGGACUUGUAUCGGACAAAAUGAGUCCCAGAAAGCAAUUGAGAAUAUGUUAGUUGUCACAGUCAAAGUUCUACUAUUCCACAACAUUUGUGUCCUUCACAUUUAUUUGCAUUCGGUAUUUAGCAAAAUGCAUGACCUCUCUGCUUGAAACUAAAUUUUCAGAUUUGUGAUUCUAAAUGGGCCGUGCUACUUAUUAUUGCUAUUCAGCAGAAGUGUAAAGUGGUUGACUUGGGUAUUGGAAAAGAUACCGAAAGAAGUCUUGUGGAGCAUAUGGAUGCAGCUCUAUGUUCUGAUGCUGAUAUAAUCCUUACUUCUGAUGGUGUUUCCAUGGUGAUAGAGAUCUUGUCAAACCUUUCUUGGCAAAGGUAUGUAAAAUUCACUUUGAAAAGGUUACCUACAAAUCCUUCUGGGUUAUUGUGUACAAACUACAAAGAUGUUGAUAAGCAGCAUCAGCCUUAUGAUUGUAUUCUUUUCCUGUAUGUUGUUGGAUGAGCAUUGAAAGCAGUUAUGUUUGGUCAAACCUAAAGUUACUAACAAAUGCAAACAUAAAUUCAUCAUCUAAUAACAAUUACAUCGAUAAAUUAUAAUAAAAGAGAUUAUGUAUGCA